rnacentral:rRNA from 1 species
GCGCGCAGGUGGUCCCUUUAAGUCUGAUGUGAAAGCCCAGGGCUCAACCGUGGAGGGUCAUUGGAAACUGGGGGACUUGAGUACAGAAGAGGAAAGUGGAAUUCCACGUGUAGCGGUGAAAUGCGUAGAGAUGUGGAGGAACACCAGUGGCGAAGGCGACUUUCUGGUCUGUAACUGACACUGAGGCGCGAAAGCGUGGGGAGCGAACAGGAUUAGAUACCCUGGUAGUCCACGCCGUAAACGAUGAGUGCUAAGUGUUAGAGGGUUUCCGCCCUUUAGUGCUGCAGCUAACGCAUUAAGCACUCCGCCUGGGGAGUACGGUCGCAAGACUGAAACUCAAAGGAAUUGACGGGGGCCCGCACAAGCGGUGGAGCAUGUGGUUUAAUUCGAAGCAACGCGAAGAACCUUACCAGGUCUUGACAUCCUUAUGACCGCUCUGGAGACAGAGUUUUCCCUUCGGGGACAUAAGUGACAGGUGGUGCAUGGUUGUCGUCAGCUCGUGUCGUGAGAUGUUGGGUUAAGCCCCGCAACGAGCGCAACCCUUGAUCUUAGUUGCCAGCAUUCAGUUGGGCACUCUAAGGUGACUGCCGGUGACAAACCGGAGGAAGGUGGGGAUGACGUCAAAUCAUCAUGCCCCUUAUGACCUGGGCUACACACGUGCUACAAUGGAUGGUACAAAGGGCAGCAAAACCGCGAGGUUGAGCGAAUCCCAUAAAACCAUUCUCAGUUCGGAUUGCAGGCUGCAACUCGCCUGCAUGAAGCUGGAAUCG